rnacentral:rRNA from 1 species
UACGUAGGGGGCAAGCGUUGUCCGGAAUUAUUGGGCGUAAAGAGCGUGUAGGCGGUCCGGUAAGUCAGCUGUGAAAGUCAAGGGCUCAACCCUUGAAAGCCGGUUGAUACUGUCGGGCUAGAGUCCGGAAGAGGCGAGUGGAAUUCCAGGUGUAGCGGUGAAAUGCGUAGAUAUCUGGAGGAACACCGGUGGCGAAGGCGGCAUCCUGGACCGACACUGACGCUGAGGAGCGAAAGCCAGGGGAGCAAACGGG